rnacentral:lncRNA from 1 species
UUCACGACUGGGCGUCCGACUGAUUUACUACAUUGGAGACGAAGCGGACCGGCCCGGCGAGGCCGCCGUUAAAGAAGGCGGGAUGGCUGUCGGCAAGAUCGGCGAGUAUCGUCUUGGCACGGACGCGUCUUGGGAUGAGUACGUCGAGCGGUUGGAAAUGUUUUGCGACGCGAACAAGAUAACAACGGACGAGCAGAAAAGAGCAGUUCUGCUGAGUUGUUGCGGCGAAGCAGCGUACGGGCUCAUCGUAACCCUGGUGAAGCCAGUAAGACCGACCAUGGCAAGCUACGACGAAAUCAAGACGGCCGUUCGCAAGCACCUGCAUCCGAGGCCUUCCGAGCUGCACGCAAGGUUUUUGUUCUACAGGAGAAACCAGGCGGCUGAUGAAUCGGUGGCAGACUACGUCACGGCUCUGCGGAAGCUAACGGAAGACUGCGGUUUUGGUGACAAGCAACUACCGCUGGACGUCAUGAUGCGAGAUCGUUUCGGUGCGGCAUCAAGAACGAAGCAGUCCAGCAGAGACUUCUCGCCGAGCCCAACCUUACGUUCCAGGUCGCGUACGACAUGGCCGUGACAGCUGAAGCUACAGCAAAGCAGCAGCGAGACAUACGCAACCAGGGACGAGACGAGACAAAGGACAGCCCGGGCCUCAUUCAAGCAACUCGCACGAAACAAGACACCGCAGCGGAAGAGUCCAGUUGCUAUCGCUGCAACGUGACCUUCCUGGCUUCAAUGGACCGCCAGUGCACAUCGAACUGAAAGACGACGCCAAACCAACGUUCCUCAAAAGUCGUACAGUUCCACUAGCACUGAAAGACGAUGUGGCCAAGGAAGUGUACCGCUUGGUGCAACAAGGAGUCUGGGAACCAGUCGAGUACUCCAACUGGGCAACUGCGCUCGUGGUGGUAAGGAAAAAAGACGGAACCUUGCGUCUCUGCGGGGAUUACCGUAGCACGGUAAACAAGGCAGUUAAAACCAGCGGGUAUCCUUUGCCUACUGCCGCGGAAAUAUUGUCGACUCUCGGGUCAAGCAAGAUAUUUACUAAGCUCGACCUAGCUCAAGCUUAUCAACAG